rnacentral:rRNA from 1 species
AUACGGAGGAUCCGAGCGUUAUCCGGAAUUAUUGGGUUUAAAGGGUCCGUAGGCGGGAAUCUAAGUCAGUGGUGAAAUCUUGCAGCUCAACUGUAAAAUUGCCAUUGAUACUGGAUUUCUUGAAUUAGUGUGAAGUGGUUAGAAUGUGUAGUGUAGCGGUGAAAUGCAUAGAUAUUACACAGAAUACCAAUUGCGAAGGCAGAUCACUAACACUAUAUUGACGCUAAGGGACGAAAGCGUGGGGAGCGAACAGGAUUAGAAACCCUAGUAGUCC